rnacentral:lncRNA from 1 species
GGGUGGGCGGAGCGGGAGGCUGGGUGGUGGGGCCGCGGGGGGUCAGGGCGGCGGCCGAGCGUCCCCUGGAGCGGAGCCCCGCCGGCCAGGUGCUUCCCCGGAGCCGGCGCCGGAGCCGGAGCCCCGCCCGCCGCCCUCCUGGCGCCUCGGGGGCGGGAGCGGGGCGUCGAGGGUCCGGGCUCGCCGCUGGGGCCGCGGCCGGCAGGGUCGGUCGCUUCGCUGCUGCCGGGGAGCGGCCGUGGCGCGAACGCACCGCUCUCCCCGAAGUCGCGGCGACGCCCGCCCCGGCGCGCAGCCCGCCUCGGGCUCGGUGGAGGUGGGGCCGCCCGUCAGCCGGCGGCGUCCUGGGGAGGCGGGCGCUGGGCCGCGCGAGCCCCGGGCGGCGGGGCUUCCCCGGGGAGAGCCCGCUGCGGGGCUGGGCGCCGAGGGCCCCCGGCGGCCCGGGGCUGGCGGCGCGGGGCGGCAGCGGGGCGGCAGCGGGGCCGGCGCGGCCCCGGGCCCAGGGCGGUCCUCGCGGCGUGUCCCCGGGCCGUCUGCGAAGGACGCGCCGAGGACCCGCCGGGCCGCCCCGAGACCCGAGUUCCCGGCCGCGGCCUGGCGCCCGUCGCCAGCUGCGUGCUUCGGGCGAGUCCUCCUCGGCGCCGCCUCAGCCGCAGGCCACGCGCCCGCCCACCGCGAGGCUCUGAGGAGCGCCGGAGACGCCGCGUGUCGUCUGGAAGCCGUAGGAGGACUAUUGAAUUAUUAUCAUCAUUUUAAAACCAUAAAGUGCAGAUAAGUCUAAAGAAGAAAGCAAAAACCCCGUGAUUCCAUCAGAGAGACCACUACCAAGUUUUGGGUGCUUAUCUGCCAAACUUAGGUACGUGAGGGUCUGUGUGCAUGUGUACACAUGUGUGUUUCUCUUUACAAAAUUGGGAUUCUCAUGCAUACACUGUUUUAUAACCUGGUCGAUUUCUUUCCUUGGAAUGUUUAAAUGCAUUUCAAAACAGGAGAGGAAAAUUUUUAAAAUUUUUAAAAUUUAAAAUUUUUAAAAAGACACAACAUGCCUGACCUGGUAACUUGUAUCCCCCAUGACUUGUGUGUCGUGCACCAGAAGUCACCUUUUACAAAUGGCAAUUUUUUAAAAGAUUUAAUUUAUUUAUUCAUGAGAGAGAGGCAGAGACAGAGGGAGAAGCAGGCUCCAUGAAGGGAACCCAAUGUGGGACUCCAUCCGGGAUCCCGGGGUCAUGACCUGAGCCGAAGGCAGACGCUCAACCGCUGAGCCACCCAGGCGUCCCAGAAACUGCAAUUAUUUCGCGCUUUUGCAAACCUGUAAUACGUCUGUGAUGUCCCUGAUGUUCUGGGAGCCCUACAGAUGCCUCUGAGUUUCCCAAGACUAGCCAAGUUGAACCUCAGUUUUGGUGUGUGAUGCCCUCAGGUGUCUAGAUAUCACUAAUCCCUGGAAGACGUGCAUUGGAAUCCUCAGUC